rnacentral:misc_RNA from 1 species
UUUACAUGGAUUAUUGUCAGUUUUGAAAAGGAAAAGGAAAUUUCCAAUUUCGUCCCUAAAUCUAAAAUUUACAAUAGGUUAAAAACCCUUCCAUCUGCUGUGCCAAUUAAUAAUCAAUAUUUCCCACAAAUUGAAGCAUUCAAAAUAAAAUUUCAAUCAAAUGGACCAUUCAAAAUAUUCAUAUGCUUUUUAAGUGGCAAAUAUAUGCUAUCCCAUACUUCAUAUUCUGACGUUGCUUCGCAGAAAACAAGGUUUGAUAAUGGAAAAAGCACCAAAGAAAGCUAGUAGCAAUACCGUAUGUGGAGAUGGAUACAGAUG